rnacentral:rRNA from 1 species
GACGAACGCUGGCGGCGUGCUUAACACAUGCAAGUCGAACGUGAUUUUUGUGGAAAUUCUUUCGGGAAUGGAAAUGAAAUGAAAGUGGCGAACGGGUGAGUAACACGUGAGCAACCUACCUUACACAGGGGGAUAGCCGUUGGAAACGACGAUUAAUACCGCAUGAGACCACAGAAUCGCAUGAUAUAGGGGUCAAAGAUUUAUCGGUGUAAGAAGGGCUCGCGUCUGAUUAGCUAGUUGGAAGGGUAAAGGCCUACCAAGGCGACGAUCAGUAGCCGGUCUGAGAGGAUGAACGGCCACAUUGGAACUGAGACACGGUCCAAACUCCUACGGGAGGCAGCAGUGGGGAAUAUUGCACAAUGGGGGGAACCCUGAUGCAGCGACGCCGCGUGAGCGAAGAAGGUUUUCGAAUCGUAAAGCUCUGUCCUAUGAGAAGAUAAUGACGGCAUCAUAGGAGGAAGCCCCGGCUAAAUACGUG